rnacentral:rRNA from 2 species
GGUUAAGCGACUAAGCGUACACGGUGGAUGCCCUGGCAGUCAGAGGCGAUGAAGGGCGUGCUAAUCUGCGAUAAGCGCCGGUAAGGUGAUAUGAACCGUUAUAACCGGCGAUACCCGAAUGGGGAAACCCAGUGUGACUCGUCACACUAUCAUUAACUGAAUCCAUAGGUUAAUGAGGCGAACCGGGGGAACUGAAACAUCUAAGUACCCCGAGGAAAAGAAAUCAACCGAGAUUCCCCCAGUAGCGGCGAGCGAACGGGGAGGAGCCCAGAGCCUGAAUCAGCAUGUGUGUUAGUGGAAGCGUCUGGAAAGUCGCGCGAUACAGGGUGACAGCCCCGUACACAAAAGCGCAUGUGUUGUGAGCUCGAUGAGUAGGGCGGGACACGUGGUAUCCUGUCUGAAUAUGGGGGGACCAUCCUCCAAGGCUAAAUACUCCUGACUGACCGAUAGUGAACCAGUACCGUGAGGGAAAGGCGAAAAGAACCCCGGCGAGGGGAGUGAAAAAGAACCUGAAACCGUGUACGUACAAGCAGUGGGAGCCCCACCACCAAAGCAUUCUCUGGUGUUGAAGGCCCUGCAAAGCAGCAUCGCGGUGGCGGAGCGUCGUUUGCGACGCCCAACACAAAAAACAAGCGGUGAGUGCUUUGGGGUGGGGUGACUGCGUACCUUUUGUAUAAUGGGUCAGCGACUUAUAUUCUGUAGCAAGGUUAACCGAAUAGGGGAGCCGUAGGGAAACCGAGUCUUAA